GGUACUCCUUCUAGCUAAAUACCGCCAUGAGACCGAUAGAAGACAAGUACCGUGAGGGAAAGUUGAAAAGCACUCUGAAUAGAGAGUCAAAUAGUACGUGAAACUGCCUAGGGGACGCAAACCUGUUGAACUCAAUGAUCCGGGCGGCGAUAUUCAGCGGUGGUCCACCCUUACGGGUUGGCUGCCGUGCACUUAUCGGUCCGCAGUAACGGACAUCGCGAUCCAUUACAAUGGGGCAUUCCACCAAUGGCCCCUAGCUCGUGGUUGGCGGCUUUCUAGUAAGGUGGCUCGGCGGCCUCCCUGAGCGAAAGUCUCCGCGCCCUUCACACCAAAGGGGCGCAGGGCCCGAUCGAGCUUGGUGUGCCGCUGGAAAUGUGAUGGAUUGGUAUGAGCGGGGUUCGAGUGUGUGGCCUUAAGCCGGAGGCCCGAAUAACACUCGCCCCCGAUCGGUGAUGACGCAUUAUGCAUUGAGGCACCUACGGGACCCGUCUUGAAACACGGACAAAAAAUUCCCAAA
rnacentral:rRNA from 1 species